GAUGAACGCUGGCGGCGUGCUUAACACAUGCAAGUCGAACGAAGCACUUAAGAUUGAUUCUUCGGAUGACGUCUUUUGUGACUUAGUGGCGGACGGGUGAGUAACGCGUGGGUAACCUGCCUCACACAGGGGGAUAACAGUUAGAAAUGACUGCUAAUACCGCAUAACCCGAUAGGAUCGCAUGAUCCAGACGGAAAAGAUUUAUCGGUGUGAGAUGGACCCGCGUCUGAUUAGCUAGUUGGUGAGGUAACGGCCCACCAAGGCGACGAUCAGUAGCCGGCCUGAGAGGGUGAACGGCCACAUUGGGACUGAGACACGGCCCAAACUCCUACGGGAGGCAGCAGUGGGGAAUAUUGCACAAUGGUGGAAACCCUGAUGCAGCGACGCCGCGUGAGUGAAGAAGUAUUUCGGUAUGUAAAGCUCUAUCAGCAGGGAAGAAAAUGACGGUACCUGACUAAGAAGCCCCGGCUAACUACGUG
rnacentral:rRNA from 1 species